rnacentral:rRNA from 1 species
AACAGCGCGGUGGUCCCACCUGACCCCAUGCCGAACUCAGAAGUGAAACGCCGUAGCGCCGAUGGUAGUGUGGGGCCUCCCCAUGCGAGAGUAGGGAACUGCCAGGC